UACGGAGGAUCCAAGCGUUAUCCGGAUUUAUUGGGUUUAAAGGGUGCGUAGGCGGCCUGUUAAGUCAGGGGUGAAAGACGGUGGCUCAACCAUCGCAGUGCCCUUGAUACUGAUGGGCUUGAUUACACUUGAGGUAGGCGGAAUGUGACAAGUAGCGGUGAAAUGCAUAGAUAUGUCACAGAACACCGAUUGCGAAGGCAGCCAGCUGGGCCUUUAUUGACGCUGAGGCACGAAAGCGUGGGGAGCAAACAGGAUUAGAAACCCCGGUAGU
rnacentral:rRNA from 1 species